GGGGGUGUAAUGGUCUCGACAUUGCUUUUCGCGCAUGCGGUGCACCUCGGAGGCUCGGCUCCGUCAUCAACGGAACAGUUAAUAUAACUGCAAAGAACGAAAAAUUCUUACGCUUUAGCUGCUUAAUAACCAGCUAGCGUGAUCCUUCCGACUUCGCUCAAGGGUCGGGUCUGGGUCUCAAAUCAUUGAGCUACGGUUGAUGUUGCCACCUGAGGCAUCAACAAGAGACUAGUAGGUUAGCUGCCUUGUGUUAGCCUUGUCGGUUGG
rnacentral:tmRNA from 1 species